rnacentral:rRNA from 1 species
UGGGGAAUAUUGGACAAUGGGCGCAAGCCUGAUCCAGCAAUGCCGCGUGUGUGAAGAAGGCCUUCGGGUUGUAAAGCACUUUUAUCAGGAGCGAAACGCUGUCGGCUAAUACCCGGCGGAACUGACGGUACCUGAGGAAUAAGCACCGGCUAACUUCGUGCCAGCAGCCGCGGUAAUACGAAGGGUGCAAGCGUUAAUCGGAAUUACUGGGCGUAAAGCGUGCGUAGGCGGUUUCUUAAGUCUGCUGUGAAAUCCCCGGGCUCAACCUGGGAAUGGCAGUGGAUACUGGGAGGCUAGAGUGUGUCAGAGGGUGGUGGAAUUCCCGGUGUAGCGGUGAAAUGCGUAGAGAUCGGGAGGAACAUCAGUGGCGAAGGCGGCCACCUGGGACAACACUGACGCUGAGGCACGAAAGCGUGGGGAGCAAACAGGAUUAGAUACCCUGGUAGUCCACGCCCUAAAGCGAUGCGAACUGGAUGUUGGUCUCAACUCGGAGAUCAGUGUCGAAGCUAACGCGUUAAGUUCGCCGCCUGGGGAGUACGGUCGCAAGACUGAAACUCAAAGGAAUUGACGGGGUCAU